CCAGUGGAAGGUUAGGCAUCUUUUUGUUUAUGAAUACAGAUGAGAAAGAUAGAAUGUUACUACUUCUAGUUUCUUCAGUUUGUUUUCCUUGUUUAACUAUACUUUGCUGUAUCCAGUUCAGAGCUGAUGUCAAGCUUCCUCAGAAUCCAACUGUGGCCUUAGCAGGGAGGAAGUAGUGCACCCUGGAGUGGGCUACUGAGUAAUACUGUUUUACCUAAACCUUGGCCAUACAUUGGUUAUUGGUGCAUCUUCAAGGAUGGCUUUCCUUGGGCAGUCCUGUACUGGAGUUGUUUGACCAUGUGGCACGUGCUAUGGGAUUAUCAAUUCAUGUUCUUGUAACAUCAAUCUUUGGUCUCACUGAGGAUUUUAAGGCUCCAACCUUGCUGGCAUUCCACCUCAGAAGAUCACCAUCUGGGAUCCACGGAACUACUAGUCUCUUGUGUUAAAUGAAGUGGAUGUGCAUCUGAUUACAGAAACUGGAGCUGUUUGACACCUCUUAGCAAAUGUCUUCGUGGAUAAAAUCAGAUUCCAGCCAGCAGAAUGGUUAAGGCAGGCAUGUCCAACUCAAAACCAAGCUGGCCACUACGCGUGUGUCUGUCUGCCUAUUUCUCAACUCUGCCAGGAAAGGCUGAAGAAACUUAUCAAAGUUCACCUGAACCACAAAAGUAAAACCAGCAUCAUUGCUUUUGCACUGCUUACUAAGACAACGAUGUUUUUCAUGUGCUCAAAUUCCUCUGGGUGAAGGAAAGCAGUGAAUUCUUCACGAGUGGCAGCCAAGUCUCCAUCCAGAUCUGCAGUUUUGAAUCGCCUUUCAUCUCUGGGCAGCAUUUUCUUAAAGCUGUGCCGAUCUGUUGCAUCUUGGAAUUCUUCUGGAUUUUCUGCCAAUUCAACAAGAUAAUCACAAAAUUACGUUAUAGCAAACUUAACAAGGAACAACAAAGUCUCCUAAUUAACUGGUAUGUACUCUGAGUCUAGAAAUACAAAGGCUUACUGCUAGAACAGCUUCUGUGUUAAACUGGAAUUUCUUUUUCUUAGGGUUCUGAUGACGUCUCACCUAGAUAAUAACCAUAGGUAGCUUGUUUGUACUCUUCCCAGGUGAUUUUAUUGUCCUUGUUUGUAUCAUAGUCUUUCCAAACUUUAGCGACGUUUUCAUAGAUAUAGCGUUUCUGUACCCGUUUAAUCCAGUUUUUCAGUUCCUCUGUCGUGAGAUAGCCAUCUUGGUUUUCAUCUAUUCUAUCCACAAUCUUCCUGUAAAAAGAGAAUGGUAGCCGUGAAGGGUGGGCAGAAAAAACAAACCUCUUCAAUUUGCUUUUGGAUGUCAAAUUGAAGUUGGAUGUCAGCCCAAGUUCAUUAUCUUUAUCUGGUCCUGAUUUUACACUAAAAUGUGAAGCCCAAAAUGCAGAAAGCUGUCCUAUUGGGUGCGGCUGUCUUGCAUUUUGAAGUUGAUCUUACCACUUCUCCAUUCAUUCUUCAAUACUGCUAUAAAUAAUCAAAACAGAACCUGAACUCUCGAAGUUACUCAACAAACCAUCUCAGCUGGCUUGUAGAUUGUGCCUGCUGACUUUGGGGGACCCAUACUCAGGGGGAGGCUACAAUGGACUUAGAACAGGAAAACAACUAUAAUACAAGUGUAUCUGAUGUUUAGCAGAGGCCACAGGGACAAAAGCUUUGUGUUUUGUGUGCCCCUGCAGUUCCUUCUGUGGCUUUCCAGCAGAUUGAUGCUUGACUGGGCUGUGUUGUGUGAUUGUUCACUGUUUGCACACAGCUCAUACCCCCAGCUGAAAAAACCACACGUGUGCAAGAAUAAAGGAAGACCUAAUUUAUGUAACCCAUGUCCUUGAAGCCAUGAACAUGCAUGCUGAGAUGAUUUCUUUUGCUCGCUUUUUCAAACAAUCUGGAUUAAAUUGGUCAUUUGUGCCAACUGCUUUGUGGCUUUGCUUACUGAGAUGCAGCUUGCACCAGGAGCAGGAGGUCAUUCAGAGCCAACAGCACCAUUAUGGUGGCAUGAGACACACACUGUGGUUCCGUGCUGCUCCCCGUGGAAGGACACAGCUCAUCUGAGUGAGAAUGUGAAGACAUUUCCAACUAUUCUCUGCUAAUUGAUUAGAAAGACCUUUCUAUAACUGCUAGGAAACUUUGUUCUCAUUAGCAACGUGCCUUCUUGCAUGUGUAAAGGCCGGAGAAGGACUAAAUGCAACUGUUGCAUGGAAGUAAAAGCAAGACCGAGCAGAGUUGUCAAGAGCAAAGAAGUUGCGAGGAGCCCGUUUAACAGCAGCCUGGGAAACAGAACUGAGAUGAAGGCAAGAGAAGAAAUGGUCUCAGCUUGACUCACGGGACUGGCAGAGCUAAGCGAUGCCCUGCAGGACAGGAGAGAGAAGGGAUACAAAGUGUGUGAUUGUCUGAGAUGGGCUCUCCUUUGGCUCCAUAACACACUGAGGGGAAUAGUGUUUGCCUUGGAAUUGUAGGGGUAGCCAAACUGAGCUUCGGGAAGAAGAUUUGCGUAAACUGUGUCUUAGGGUAUCAUCAAGUGGCAAGCUUCAGGUGAAGACUCACCAUUUUGUGCCUGCUGUGCCAGGGGAGAAAUGUCAUCAAGGAGCCUUGAUAACUGUUCACCUCCUGCAA